rnacentral:lncRNA from 1 species
UUCGUGAACUGAGGUACCACUGUUUUUCUCCUUCAGAGUCUUCAAGUUAUCAUCCAUGCUCGCUGCAUCCUUCAAUGCCGGCUUCAGAGUACAUUUACUUCAUAAAGCAUCCCUUGGUCACUCUGAGCAUUGCUUUUGCUGACCACCCCAUUCCUUCAGGUCACUACGUCCAAUUCUCACUGUUGAUCUGUCUACUUUCCACACCAUGAUGAUGCUCAGUUAGUCCAUAAAUGCCUGGAAGCAGAUGUGUAGGCAGCUUGGCUAGUGGUAGCUCUGUAGCUGUGCUGAAUCUCUCAGCCCCUCCAAGGCUGUCUCCUUCUUUGUAGAGAGGGAUUGUAGCUGGUCUCUCAAGGACCUCUUAGCUGUGUUAUGCUCUUCUUUUCAUAUCUUUCCCCAGGAUGAUGACUGUCUCUUGGACAGGAUGGGAAUGGAGCCUGAACUACUAACUGCGGGAUGAACCUGGACACCACAGCUGAAAGCUGCAGACAGUCAAGCUCUACAAGGCACCUGGGAUGGAGCCUCCUUCUUGGGCAGCAUCUUCACUGUUUCCUGGAGGCUGUGUGCAAAGCACAUUGUUUGGAGGGUAUCUUGCCGCCUUUUGAGGUAAGAUUGGCAAAGGGAUUGUUAUUGUGAACUGUGGUGGGGAAAUGCUAAACAGUGGGGGAUCUGAUUUUCUAAGACCAUUUAUAACUCUGACCAAGCAUAUAACUCUGACUUUGCAACCUGACUUCCUCGGCUUCUUGCAAUCACCUUUACAUGCCUGACCCUGGUCUCACUGUCUGCCGCCUCUUGUGAAUGCAAUCAAGGAAACUGUGACCCUUCCAAUCCACAGAUAGGAGAUAUGGAAGUGAACAGAGCCUGUCUCCAUUCCUUGUUGUGCACACCACUGUUCUCUGUCCCAUCUCAUUUCACACUGGACUUCUCCAGCCUGAGGAGCCC